GGGACUUACAUGUGAAACAAGCUUGUUCCCUAACUAGAACUAAUAAAUAAAUUUAAAAAAAGGAAAACAGGUACCCCUUUAACUGCUUUUUAGAAAAAGUAAACCAUAAGGAGUUUGAUGUUCAGACUAAUAGCUGUUGUAUGUUCUCAGGCUUUCACGCUGUGUGAGCUGCUUGUUUGAAUACAAGUUCAUUCUCCAAAAAAAUAAAAUAAAAAAAGAACCUGGCUCCUGGAAGCCUCAACAGGUUCCUCGCCCUCCCCACCCUUGCCCCGACCAAUGGUGAAGAGCAGAGAAAGAAGACAUGUGUAAAGUUAAAAUGGAGAAGUGUUCUAGACACACUGGGGCCUAUAGGCUGAAUAUGGAUGCCCCAACGUUAAAGAGGAACUUUGGGUGACUGUCCAGGUAGCGAGAAGUCUCUGUCAAUUCUAGAGUUCAUAUAUUAUCCUUCUAUGAUCUGUUAGAGUUGAAGACAGAUAGUUAUGGUUAUAGUUUUCCUCAGUUAUUAUAAAAGAUAAGUUAUCUUUCUUUUUGUUUAGACAGAAAAGAGGAAAUGAUGGGGAAUGUACUGUGUAUGUUUGUCUUAUUGAUUGUUAAAUAAAAUACUGUUUGGCCAAUGAGACAGGAAGUUAGACAGGACUAGGAGUCAAAGAGGAUUCUGGGAAAUGUAGUAGAGAAGUGCUGAUCCAGGCAGGAAGUGACAUAGCAAGGAGACUCAUAUUUAAGCGAAGGAGAAACAGGAAGGGCUCCUUUUUCCCCUUCGCUCCUGCUCCAGCAGCACAAUGUGAUCCACCGGCAAGGAGGGUCGCCAAUAAGGCGUCCAAUAAGUUUAACUGCAGCGGCUGUGUGAGAUAUAUGUGGAGAUGCUGGUUGGAGCCAUUUGAUGGCAUUCAGCUUUGUGUGUCCCCCAAGGAGAAGAAAGAAUCCUCCAGCAGGUCUGGGUUGUGCUUCUGGCCGUACAACAUCUGUGGAGAAGAAGGAUGUCAUGUGGAAUUUACAACAGAUCCUAAUGGGAGAGUCUCCCUAUCGAUACCCAAGAUUGUGGAGAUGUACAGAAAUUAUGCACCCGCUGAAAGCCAAAUCUUGGCAUAGUCUUGGAACCUGAUUUCCCCUACCUGGCAUGUGCCAUCAGGUGGUAUGUUUGGGAGAGGUUGCUGUGUGUAACUCCUUUGGGCUGCGAAGCAGAAAACAGGACUGAAGGCCUGGGGAACUUAAUCCAGAACUCUGAGCACCAAUUGCAUGAAGAAACCACCUGGGAAGCAUUUGUGCUGCCCUUUCAAAAGGGUUAGCUUCCCUUCAAUUCAGCCAAGCCAGACACAACUCCUGAUGUCAGUUUCACGGCGAAGAUCUUGACAGGAGGACUUCAGCUCUCAGGUGAUAUGAAAAGCUGUGAUUUCCACUUCUGAUCAUUUCUCAUAUUCCUGAAGCCAUAGAUGAAGGCAGGAAGGAUCCGAGUGUCCUGCGUGUAUUUCUUGCUGGCGAGGAAUACAGAGCGGGCGCGGGACACAUGGUGCCGAAACCCGGGAAGCCUAACAUCUCCAGCACCGCGGAGACCCCUUGGCUACAAGGCGGAUUCAGA
rnacentral:lncRNA from 1 species